UGACAUCAAAGUCGAUUAAAAUAACUGUAAUGGUAAGUCCAUGUGCUGACGAGCCAUGUGGAAAUGGUGGGACGUGUUCAGUUGUUGAAGAAGGCUACAAUUGUAGAUGCACUGAUCAUUUCGAUGGAUUAAAUUGCACAAACUGCAUCUAUAAGGAUGGCUGUGACUUGGAUAAGGGGGACACGUACUAGAGUGAUGGGAAUGGCGUUUGUGGAUGCUACUGUGGUGGCUGUAGACAAUUUGAUAAAAAUACAAAUCGUUGUGAAAUCUGUUCAGUCUGUUCCAGUAGCACGAGUCUGAAAAUUGGAAUGUUAUUUGUGGGCAUCUUUGUUGGAGCUUUCGGGGUAAUUGGUGGAUUGAUCGUCUACUCGAGGAUUAAACAGGUUUCUCAGAUAAGCAUACAGAAGACAAAAAUAGACAAGAGAAGUACGGACAAGAGUAAACAAGAUACUUACAUGGACUACACGGCAGAUAGGCAAACUGCUGGCAAUGACAACCAGACUUACCAAGAUCUACAAUAUAGAGAAGAAGAAACAGCUUAUGUUAAUUUGAAGUCGGGAAAGAGAUAAAAAUGCAAAGAGGAGCAGUACCGUAUCUGGUCGGAGUUAAUGCGUGUUGCUUGAACAAGGAUCAUGAUAAUCCAUGCAAAAUUUAAUCAAUGAUGAUCGCACAGCAACGAAUCAAAGAAUUG